rnacentral:lncRNA from 1 species
ACUUGAUCAACGACCUAGAAUCACCAUACAUGAAUACAUUUAAAUUCAAUUAACAGAAAUGAAUUAAACUUAAAAGAAAACUACUAACAAUGGCCAUUCUGGGUAAUUACCAACAACAAUCUUGUUCUUCAGUAUUCGAAAAACCUCCACUUCAGCUCCUUGGUUGGUGAUUUGGUUCCCAAAAUCUACACGUAUACACAUAUAUAUGCAUUAGCACCCGUAUUCACCAAACUCAACAACACAAAAAGGAAAAAAAAAGGCUACCGGAUUUGGUUUGGUGCUAUGAAGGCCAAAUAGCUUCACUUUUCCCAAUUUACACUACCGAUGACGAUUUUUUAUUUUUUCGAAAAGACCCCAACUCACUGUGGCGAGGUGAGCACUCUAGCUUUCGAAACCUGCACACACACACAUAUGAAUACC